CUCCGGUUUAUUAAGUCUAUAGGUGUUCUGAGCAGCACGGUUUGUAGAUCUAUAAGUAUAACCCAAACUUCUCUUUCUCCCGGUCACCUUUGUUUGUCUUAAGUGUUUUUUUGUGGGUGAUUGUUUGUCUAUAUUGGGGACACACUUUGGUAAGUUAGUAGUGUCCCCACUCUGAGUCAGCAGUAUGGGAAAUGUGAGUUCAUGUCCUGAGUGACCAAUAUAUGUAUGUGUAUAUAUGUGUGUGUAUGUAUAUAUGUGUAUAUGUAUGUAUAUAUGUGUGUGUAUAUGUAUAUGUGUAUAUAUAAGAUAGCAGUACUUUUAAACAAAUGGAGGUUUUAAAAAUACAUAGGGAUUAAGGAGAGAACGCAGGUAACUUGUUUUUUUUUGGUUUUUACCAUAUAUUGGGCUGAUGUGUACUGUAGUCCUUGCUGCUGCCCAGUAGUGAUGGGAGUGAGCGCAGGACUUAUCUUUUUGCAAGAUAGCAGUACUGUAUAUUAGAAAAGAAAUGACUCAUAGGUUGUACCUGAUAGACCUACUUAAAUCUUUUUGCUUUAUUCUUUCUGUCGCAUAGAAGUAUAAGUUUAUUACUCUGUUUUAUUGUAAGUUAUUUCACAUGGGAACUGUGUGCCUGGAAUGAUUGUUGCUUUAAAAAUACUAUAAGCCCACUACACUUAUUAUGAGAGUGGGAUAGUGUAAAUGUGUUGCAUUGUUUGCAUGAUGAGCUCAGUAUAUUUUAUAACUGAGACAAAAAGUCACUUCAUUAGUAUUUGAAAGUUAAUUCCCCAUAUGGG
rnacentral:lncRNA from 1 species